AGCGAACGCUGGCGGCAGGCUUAACACAUGCAAGUCGAGCGGGCAUCCUUGUGGUGUCAGCGGCAGACGGGUGAGUAACGCGUGGGAACGUGCCCUUCGGUUCGGAAUAACUCAGGGAAACUUGAGCUAAUACCGGAUACGUGCGAGAGCAGAAAGGUUUAUCUGCCGAAGGAUCGGCCCGCGUCUGAUUUGCUAGUUGGUGAGGUUAUGGCUCACCAAGGCGACGAUCAGUAGCUGGUCUGAGAGGAUGAUCAGCCACACUGGGACUGAGACACGGCCCAGACUCCUACGGGAGGCAGCAGUGGGGAAUAUUGGACAAUGGGGGCAACCCUGAUCCAGCCAUGCCGCGUGAGUGAUGACGGCCUUAGGGUUGUAAAGCUCUUUUCUUCGGGACGAUAAUGACGGUACCGGAGGAAUAAGCCCCGGCUAACUUCGUG
rnacentral:rRNA from 1 species